ACGUAGGUGGCAAGCGUUGUCCGGAUUUAUUGGGCGUAAAGCGAGCGCAGGCGGUUUUUUAAGUCUGAUGUGAAAGCCCCCGGCUUAACCGAGGAGGGUCAUUGGAAACUGGAAAACUUGAAUGCAGAAGAGGAGAGUGGAAAUCCAUGUGUAGCGGUGAAAUGCGUAGAUAUAUGGAGGAACACCAGUGGCGAAGGCGGCUCUCUGGUCUGUAAUUGACGCUGAGGCUCGAAAGCGUGGGGAGCAAACAG
rnacentral:rRNA from 1 species